UACGGAGGAUGCAAGCGUUAUCCGGAUUUAUUGGGUUUAAAGGGUCCGCAGGCGGACUUAUAAGUCAGUGGUGAAAGCCUACAGCUUAACUGUAGAACUGCCAUUGAUACUGUAAGUCUUGAAUUCGGUCGAAGUGGGCGGAAUGUGUAGUGUAGCGGUGAAAUGCUUAGAUAUUACACAGAACACCGAUAGCGAAGGCAGCUCACUAGGCCUGGAUUGACGCUCAGGGACGAAAGCGUGGGGAUCAAACAGG
rnacentral:rRNA from 1 species